GGUUCGGUUAUGGGUCGGGAGAAAAUUUGGAGAGAUAGGAUUGAUGCCCAUAACAGAUUGAUGAGGAACUAUUUCGUGGAAAAUCCCACAUACCCGGAGUCGUAUUUUCGUCGCCGGUUUAGGAUGAGCACAUACUUGUUCAGGCGCAUUGCAGAAAAACUAGCGAGCCAUGACCGGUUUUUUCAGCAAAGGAGGAAUGCCGCCGGAGAGCUCGGGCAUAGCACCUUUCUGAAGGUGACAGCCGCUUUGCGUAUGUUGGCAUACGGUAUCCCGGCUGAUCUAGUUGAUGAUCACUUGGCUAUGGGUGAGAGCCAAGCCAUCAUGUGUGUCAAG
rnacentral:rRNA from 1 species